rnacentral:rRNA from 1 species
AGCUGGAAUCGCUAGUAAUCGCGGAUCAGAAUGCCGCGGUGAAUACGUUCCCGGGUCUUGUACACACCGCCCGUCACACCAUGGGAGUCAGUAACGCCCGAAGCCGGUGACCCAACCUAACCAGGGAGGGAGCCGUCGAAGGCGGGGACGGAUGACUGGGGUGAAGUCGUAACAAGGUAUC